UGGGGAAUUUUGGACAAUGGGGGCAACCCUGAUCCAGCCAUGCCGCGUGUAUGAAGAAGGCCUUAGGGUUGUAAAGUACUUUUGUUAGGGAAGAAAAGUCAGCUGUGAAUAAUGGCUGAUACUGACGGUACCUAAAGAAUAAGCACCGGCUAACUACGUGCCAGCAGCCGCGGUAAUACGUAGGGUGCGAGCGUUAAUCGGAAUUAUUGGGCGUAAAGCGAGUGUAGACGGUUAUUUAAGCCAGAUGUGAAAUACCCGAGCCUAACUUGGGAGGUGCAUAUGGAACUGGGUAGCUAGAGUGUGUCAGAGGGAGGUAGAACUCCACGUGUAGCAGUGAAAUGCGUAGAGAUGUGGAAGAAUACCGAUGGCGAGGGCAGCCUCCUGGGAUAACACUGACGUUGAGGCUCGAAAGCGUGGGGAGCAAACAGGAUUAGAUACCCUGGUAGUCCACGCCCUAAACGAUGACAAUUAGCUGUUGGCCCCAUUAAGGGGUGAGCAGCGAAGCUAACGCGUGAAAUUGUCCGCCUGGGGAGUACGGUCGCAAGAUUA
rnacentral:rRNA from 1 species